GAGCUCUCAGAAUGUGCCAAAGAAUUAGAAGUACAAAUUCUUAAAAUUGGAAAAGUUUUUUCAGUUAGAUGGGUUGCUUCAAGCCAGAGAGCUAUACGAGCAGUUUGGGAGUCAUAUCCUGCCCCACAUAGUCAUUUCUUGAAAGCCAUCUUAAGUUCAGCUAAUAACAGUAAGCAGAAAUCUGUAUCUAGUGGCCUUAACAAGGUCUUGACAUCAGAAGAUUAUUUGUUAAACCUUGCAGGGGUUGCAGAUGCUGUUCAGGAAAUGGGACUGUUAUCUGAAACUCUGCAAAGAGAUGACAUCACACUUCCACGAGUUUAUCAGCUGAUUAAUCGUUCCGUUUGUGCCAUUGAAAAAAUGAAAGACAUGCCUGGCAAACAUCUGAAAGAAGUCAGGGAAUCGCUGGAGAAAGGGAAUUUUAAAGGUGUGACCAUCAAUCCAGAGAGUAAAAAAGGCCAGGUAAGGAUAAAUCUCCCUCAAUUUUAUCAAAGAUUGGUGGAUAAUUUACGCUCCAGACUCUUUGCUUUAACUGCGAGCAACAGACCUGCAGAUUCAUCACAGUCAGGUGAAUUUGAAACUCUUGUCUCUGAAAUUGACAUCCUGAAUUCACAACGCUGGCCAAUCAAUGUGGACAGUCAGGGCUGCCAUCAGAAAUUUUAGGGCCCUUUACACAGCCCCGAUCUUUUCUAAUGGGCUGUGUGUUUAGUUUUUAUACACUAUUUGUUUUAGAAAUUCCCUGCGAGGGAAAGAUCACCCAUUGUGGUGAUUAUUCUGUUAGUAUGACUAACAAGUUAACUCCCUCACAAACAACACCAUUCACUUUAUCACAGUUGUUAGAACUGUACUAUAUUCAUUUGUUGUUU